rnacentral:rRNA from 1 species
CAGCCGCCGCGGUAAAACGGAGGGUGCAAGCGUUAUUCGGAAUUACUGGGCGUAAAGCGCACGCAGGCGGUUGCCCAAGUCAGAUGUGAAAGCCCCGGGCUUAACCUGGGAACUGCAUUUGAAACUGGGCGACUAGAGUAUGAAAGAGGAAAGCGGAAUUUCCAGUGUAGCAGUGAAAUGCGUAGAUAUUGGAAGGAACACCGAUGGCGAAGGCAGCUUUCUGGGUCGAUACUGACGCUCAUGUGCGAAAGCGUGGGGAGCAAACAGGAUUAGAUACCCCCGUAGUCCCUGUCUCUUAUAC